AGAGUUUGAUCCUGGCUCAGAACGAACGCUGGCGGCGUGGAUAAGACAUGCAAGUCGAGCGGGAUUUUCUUUGGUACCAAUACCGAGGAAAAUUCAGCGGCGAACGGGUGCGUAACACGUGGGCAAUCUGCCUUAGAGUGUGGGAUAGCUCGGCGAAAGCCGGAUUAAUACCGCAUGUGGCUACUGGAGACAUCUUCGGGACGCUAAAGGUGGCGCAAGCUACCGCUAUUUGAGGAGCCCGCGGCCUAUCAGCUUGUUGGUGGGGUAACGGCUCACCAAGGCGAUGACGGGUAGCUGGUCUGAGAGGACGACCAGCCACACUGGGACUGAAACACGGCCCAAACACCUACGGGUGGCAGCAGUCGAGAAUUUUUGACAAUGGGGGAAACCCUGAUCCACCGACGCCGCGUGGAGGAAUGAAGACUUCCGGNUGAUAACACCUGGUCUAUGGAAAACAACGGCCCUGGUA
rnacentral:rRNA from 1 species